CCCCUGGUGGUCUAGUGGUUAGGAUGUGGUGCUCUCACCGCUGUGGUCCGGGUUCGAUUCCCGGUCAGGGAA
rnacentral:tRNA from 1 species